GACGAACGCUGGCGGCGUGCUUAACACAUGCAAGUCGAACGGUGAAGCGCUUUCCUUUUUGGUUGGUGUGGAUGAGUGGCGAACGGGUGAGUAACACGUGAGUAACCUGCCCCCUUCUUCUGGAUAACCGCAUGAAAGUGUGGCUAAUACGGGAUAUUCUGCGCCUGCUGCAUGGUGGGUGUGGGAAAGAUUGUGCCUUUGGGUGUUUUCGGUGGGGGAUGGGCUCGCGGCCUAUCAGCUUGUUGGUGGGGUGAUGGCCUACCAAGGCGGUGACGGGUAGCCGGCCUGAGAGGGUGGACGGUCACACUGGGACUGGGACACGGCCCAGACUCCUACGGGAGGCAGCAGUGGGGAAUAUUGCACAAUGGGCGCAAGCCUGAUGCAGCGACGCCGCGUGAGGGAUGGAGGCCUUCGGGUUGUGAACCUCUUUCGCCAGUGAAGCAGGCCUGCUCCUUGUGGGUGGGUUGACGGUAGCUGGAUAAGAAGCUCCGGCUAACUACGUG
rnacentral:rRNA from 1 species